UACGAAGGGGCUAGGCGUUGUUCGGAAUUACGUGGGCGUGAAAGCGCAAGCGUAGGCGGACAUUUAAGUUGGAGGUGAAAGCCUUGGGCUCAACCCAAGAAGUUCGCCUUUGAUACUGGAUGUCUCGAGACGGGAGAGGUGAGUGGAAUUCCGAGUGUAGAGGUGAAAUUCGUAGAUAUUCGGAAGAACACCAGUGGCGAAGGGCGGCUCACUGGCCCGAUUCUGACGCUGGAGGUGACGAAAGCGGUGGGGAGCAAACAGG
rnacentral:rRNA from 1 species